rnacentral:tRNA from 1 species
AAAGAUUUAGUUAAAUAUAUAACAUUAGAAUGUCAAACUAAAAUUAUUAAUUAUUAAUAAUCUUUA